ACCUCAACAGCCCUUGAUAUGGAGUUUACUGGUUUGCAUUCAACUUCCCUACAAAACAACGAGCCCAGCCUGUUUGACUCCCCUGCAGAGCGAUAUGUGAAGGCCAGGCAGAGUGUUCAGCGUUUCACUCUUGUCCAGCUUGGGCUGGCAAUAUUCUCAAAAGAAAAUUCAAACAAGUAUGUGGUGCAUUCAUACAACUUUUUUCUCUUUCCCUCAACACUGGGAAUAAGGGAUGUCGAAUUCACCUUCUCUGCAUCUAGUAUUCAGUUCCUGUCUCAUUAUGGCUUUGACUUCAACAAGUUCCUCAAAGAUGGAAUCCCAUACAUGAAUGAGGUACAGGAGAAGAUCCUUAAGCAGCACCUCUUAGCAGGUACCUGGAAAGUCUGCAGCACUAGUUGUGCAGACAGGGAUGUCCUGAAGAAAGCUAUUGAUGAAGUGACCUCUUGGAUAACUGCAGCAAAAGAAGAAGAUACUAUGAUUCUGCAGGAUCUGAAUGGCUAUCAUAUGCUUGAAGUUCAGCUGGUUCUGAGGCAGGCUCUUGAAAAUGUUUGGACAGAGCCUCUUGGAGACAAGAAGGUAAUGGUGAAAAAAGUGAGUCCAGAGCAACGUCAGCUUCUGGAGAACUCUUCUUAUGACCACUGUCAGAAAAAGCUCAUUCUCCUGUCUGCUCGGGGCUUUACCAACCUCUUCCAGAUACUUGUUAAAGCCAAGAAGCCCCUGGUGGGACACAACAUGCUUAUGGACCUUAUGCAUCUUCACGACAAGUUCUACAGGCCCCUCCCAGAAAGCUAUGAGGAGUUUAAAAGGAACAUUCACAACCUGUUUCCUGUCAUCAUAGACACCAAGACUGUAACAAAAUCCGUGCAGAAGAAAUGUCUGUUUCCUCGAGUAUCUAGUCUUUUGGAGGUGUAUGCAGUUUUGUGCAGCAGCAACCUAAAUCCCAAAGAUCCACCGUGCCCUGUUAUAGCUCUUGCAAGUGGCUGCUCAAGAUACGCUGAGAAGAAAUCUCCUCAUGAGGCAGGCUAUGAUGCAUUUCUCUGUGGUUCAGUUCUUCUGAUGUCAGCUCAUUUGCUACUGUGCAGAUCCACAGAUGGUGCAGUGGACACUGAGCCUUCUUUCUCGCAGUAUCUCACCGUGUUAGCUGAGCACGUGAACAAAGUGAAUUUCAUCCGAGGUGGUGUUUCAAGCAUUGUGCGUAUGAAUUGCAGAAUUUUUCUGGGGAAGAUGCUCCUUGCCGUCAUCCCCCUGCCUUGGUUGUUCAUGUCCGAGGCUGGCCAGUGCUGACAGAGAGACAGAUUUACCAAGAGUUUAAAGCUCGCUGUCGCUUCGAUGUUAGACGGCUUUCAAAGAACCAGUUCAUUCUGCUCACCAAUAAACACAAGCAUGUCAGGCUCGUCCUGCGGGAUUACAGGCACCACCCUCACCUGCAGGUCUCCGUCUAUCGCCACUGGAGGCACUCGCCGAGCGUGAACUGCCUGCUGCAAAUCUCUGGUAUUGUGGCACUGUGGUCUCUCUUGGCCUUUGCACUUGGAGGAGCUCGUAGCUGUUGACUUUAAAGGACUACUGUAAAGAUGAGACAUGAUGAAUGCUGAUGUUAUUUCUUGUGUUUGUCUAUUUUGUUUUGUUUCAUACAAUAAAAGAUGAGAAAAAUUAACGAAAAAAAACCCCAAA